rnacentral:rRNA from 1 species
ACGCUCGACACCUACGAGAGGCAGCAGUUGGGAAUAUUGGACAAUGGAGGAAACUCUGAUCCAGUGACGCCGCGUGAAGGAAGAAGGUCUUCGGAUUGUAAACUUAUUUUGUCAGGGAAGAAAAAAUGACUGUACCUGAAGAAAAAGCACCGGCUAACUACGUGCCAACAGCCGCGGUAAUACUGAGCGGGCUGGCAAGGC